ACGUUAUCUAAAACAAGUACAAAUAAUUGGAGUUUAGGCUGUUGAAUGAUUGGGUACAUGGGUGUAGUUCGAGUUGGAUGCCCCGCCCCCACAAUCUGACUAACACCACAGAAACAGCCUCACUCUUUGUGUGUCCUUUGUUUACUACUAGAGUGACACGGGUCUCCAACGGCUUUGUUCUAGACAGGUUGGCAGCUUUGGCCUUGGCUGGAGGUGUACUGUCCGCAGCUACAUUGAGUAGGUCUAACUGUUCAAUGUUCACAGCUACAUUGAGUAGGUCUAACUGUUCACAGCUACAUUGAGUAGGUCUAACUGUUCACAGCUACAUUGAGUAGGUCUAACUGUUCACAGCUACAUUGAGUAGGUCUAACUGUUCAAUGUUCACAGCUACAUUGAGUAGGUCUAACUGUUCAAUGUUCACAGCUACAUUGAGUAGGUCUAACUGUUCACAGCUACAUUGAGUAGGUCUAACUGUUCACAGCUACAUUGAGUAGGUCUAACUGUUCACAGCUACAUUGAGUAGGUCUAACUGUUCACAGCUACAUUGAGUAGGUCUAACUGUUCACAGCUACAUUGAGUAGGUCUAACUGUUCAAUGUUCACAGCUACAUUGAGUAGGUCUAACUGUUCACAGCUACAUUGAGUAGGUCUAACUGUUCAAUGUUCACAGCUACAUUGAGUAGGUCUAACUGUUCACAGCUACAUUGAGUAGGUCUAACUGUUCACAGCUACAUUGAGUAGGUCUAACUGUUCACAGCUACAUUGAGUAGGUCUAACUGUUCAAUGUUCACAGCUACAUUGAGUAGGUCUAACUGUUCACAGCUACAUUGAGUAGGUCUAACUGUUCAACGUUCACAGCUACAUUGAGUAGGUCUAACUGUUCACAGCUACAUUGAGUAGGUCUAACUGUUCACAGCUACAUUGAGUAGGUCUAACUGUUCACAGCUACAUUGAGUAGGUCUAACUGUUCACAGCUACAUUGAGUAGGUCUAACUGUUCACAGCUACAUUGAGUAGGUCUAACUGUUCACAGCUACAUUGAGUAGGUCUAACUGUUCACAGCUACAUUGAGUAGGUCUAACUGUUCAAUGUUCACAGCUACAUUGAGUAGGUCUAACUGUUCACAGCUACAUUGAGUAGGUCUAACUGUUCAACGUUCACAGCUACAUUGAGUAGGUCUAACUGUUCACAGCUACAUUGAGUAGGUCUAACUGUUCACAGCUACAUUGAGUAGGUCUAACUGUUCACAGCUACAUUGAGUACGUCUAACUGUUCACAGCUACAUUGAGUAGGUCUAACUGUUCACAGCUACAUUGAGUAGGUCUAACUGUUCACAGCUACAUUGAGUAGGUCUAACUGUUCACAGCUACAUUGAGUAGGUCUAACUGUUCACAGCUACAUUGAGUAGGUCUAACUGUUCACAGCUACAUUGAGUAGGUCUAACUGUUCAAUGUUCACAGCUACAUUGAGUAGGUCUAACUGUUCACAGCUACAUUGAGUAGGUCUAACUGUUCACAGCUACAUUGAGUAGGUCUAACUGUUCACAGCUACAUUGAGUAGGUCUAACUGUUCACAGCUACAUUGAGUAGGUCUAACUGUUCACAGCUACAUUGAGUACGUCUAACUGUUCACAGCUACAUUGAGUAGGUCUAACUGUUCACAGCUACAUUGAGUAGGUCUAACUGUUCACAGCUACAUUGAGUAGGUCUAACUGUUCACAGCUACAUUGAGUAGGUCUAACUGUUCACAGCUACAUUGAGUAGGUCUAACUGUUCAAUGUUCACAGCUACAUUGAGUAGGUCUAACUGUUCACAGCUACAUUGAGUAGGUCUAACUGUUCACAGCUACAUUGAGUAGGUCUAACUGUUCACAGCUACAUUGAGUAGGUCUAACUGUUCACAGCUACAUUGAGUAGGUCUAACUGUUCACAGCUACAUUGAGUAGGUCUAACUGUUCACAGCUACAUUGAGUAGGUCUAACUUCACAGCUACAUUGAGUAGGUCUAACUGUUCAAUGUUCACAGCUACAUUGAGUAGGUCUAACUGUUCACAGCUACAUUGAGUAGGUCUAACUGUUCAAUGUUCACAGCUACAUUGAGUAGGUCUAACUGUUCACAGCUACAUUGAGUAGGUUUAACUGUUCAAUGUUCACAGCUACAUUGAGUAGGUCUAACUGUUCAAUGUUAGACAUGGCAGUUUUCAUACAAUAAUAUGUUUUGGUGUUACUUUUGAGUUAUUUGAUAUGGCUGUGUAUUAGUUUUUCCAUACCUACAUAGGCCUACUGUUUCGAAGACUACCAUACUUUUACUAUAAUUAUAGCAACCGAAUUGAGAUGCGUAGCAAGCUACAAAAUAUAGCCCUUUGAUCAAAACUUGAGGCAAAAUUGAGAAAGUUUCGUGGUUGACCUUGGGAUGUUGUUAAGAUGUGUACGGAACCUUUGGAAGGAGGAAAUAGCCUUGUCAUACCUGUGUUUAUUUCCCCCUGC